CGGGUGAGUAACACGUGGAUAACUUACCUAUAAGACUGGGAUAACUUCGGGAAACCGGAGCUAAUACCGGAUAAUAUAUUGAACCGCAUGGUUCAAUAGUGAAAGACGGUUUUGCUGUCACUUAUAGAUGGAUCCGCGCCGCAUUAGCUAGUUGGUAAGGUAACGGCUUACCAAGGCAACGAUGCGUAGCCGACCUGAGAGGGUGAUCGGCCACACUGGAACUGAGACACGGUCCAGACUCCUACGGGAGGCAGCAGCG
rnacentral:rRNA from 1 species